UGAAGAAAAAAAGAUGAAGCUGUUUUCCAGAGACCAGCACUUCAUCCCUGAGAAAAUGUCAAGAUUAUAGGCAUGCUCUAUAGAAGAUAAUGAGUUAAUACCGAAUGGCUAAAUCAGGGGAGUAUUUGAUUGGGGUUCCCAGAAACCAACAAGAUGUGGAUUCAUAUUCAAAUGCUUCCAGGAGAAUCAAGUAAGGAAGUUAAGAAAGAGAAAGAAAGGAAACAAAGGAAAAAAAUGGCAGCAUACUGAAACGGUAAAUGGAAAGGCCAUGUUUUUUGAGUGACACCAUUAGAGUAAAAACUAGCCAGAGGCAUCUGGUGGACAAGCAUCUGAGCCACACAGGAGGGAAGUCCUGUCCAUGAGAUGCAUUCACGUACUAAAGCAGGUGUUUUACCUAACAUCUCUGUGUUGCCAGGUUUUGCAGCCACUGAAGUUAUUGAUCACUUUUCAAAAAUGUCUCACUUUGCAUAUCGACUACCCUCCGUUGCUCCCUGCUAGUUUUUAAAUCUGCACUUUGGGGCACUAGAAGUGACUGAAAUAUCAGUUAAGUCCUAUUUGACAAAUACGUAUUUAGAGUAACCAAUUCAAUAGGGCCAUAAAGAAACUACGGGGUUAGUGCUAGUUAAUAUUGAGACAUCAGUUUUGGGAAUUUUGCUGUUUAUUGGUGGAAGCUACAACGAGAUUUUGUGUAGUUUCUAUUAAAACAAUAAAAUAUUAUCUGAUUCAUAAUUCAGUUCAAAAUACGCUUUAAUGUUUUGCUAGAUGUGUUGGACACUCAGCUUCUAUUUCCAUGGGCUGAAUAAUUGAUGUUUACAUUUCCCAGACAUCCAUACAGUUAGGGUUCUAAAAGUAAGUUACAUCUUCCACUUGGAUUUGGAACAUUUCCUCAUUCCAGGUUCCAGACCGCUAUAUCAACAGACUCGUAGAAUGUUACUGAACACACUGAACACACUGUUUGGUGGUGAACAGAUGGUGGCUAAGAAGUUGCUCAUGGUUCCUGGGAGUCCUAACCAGGGCCUGAUACGGCAAACCUUUCAAUGAUUUGUAAACUCCUAGUGUAUCUUAUCUCCUUAAAACACAUAAACACGUAAAACUGUGUCUCCUUAAAACACAGCAUGGUUUUGUUUUCACCACUGAGCCCAAAGUAAUUAAAACGAACUGCUAUCACAUUCAUUUGUGUGUGUGUGUGUGUGUGUGUGUGUGUGUCUGUGAUUUGCAAAAUGAUAUAAAUAGGUAGAUAACAUUGUUAAAUAGAUAAAGCCUUAGAAGACGAGAGGAUACAAAUUAAUAUUUAUUAUACCUGUGUUCACUACAACAAUCCAGUUUGUGUUUUGCACUGUAAAUCCCAAAAUGUGUUAUAUUAUUUUUGUCAACUAGCGUUGCCAACACAAAGCCAAUAUAAGUUGAUUUUACAAGAGUAUACAUAUAAUAUUUAACAGCUGGGUUUGAAAAUAAUUCAGGUUUUAAAGUUGGAAGUAUCUUCGCUUUUAGUAGGUAAAGAAAUAAAAAUCUGAGAGGAAGGAUUAGGUGAUGUAAUUUCUUCUGUUUGAUACUUAAAUUCCAUAAGAGUCUAUAUUUGAGAAAUAUAAAAAUAUUGCUGAGUAGCACUUUUCUGGGACUUUGAGAAGUGUGGGAGACAGAAUGCACUUUACGAACAUUUUUUAUGCCUUGUAAAAAUAGCACUACAUAUAUAUGUGUUUAACUCUACAUAGCAAUGAACUUACUUUCUCUCUGCUUUUUAUAUUCCUUUAUGGUUUACUACCUUAGGCAUUAAAUCAAGAAUUUAAUAUGUUGAGGGGAAAGGGUUGCAUAUCAAAAGUUUCUUUCUUCAAGCAAAUAUGUGGUGGAUUCCCACAUGUCUACUGAAAUAAAACUAGGGAAUAAUAUGUAUGUGUAUUACAAUAUUCUUUUCAAGACUUUGGCAGGAGAAUUAUUUAAGUAUGUCAUUCUAUCUUGAAAGCCAACUAUGGGUUUAUGAGGGGGAGGGGAAUACAUCUAUACAUUAAUUCUUGCAAGGUUAAGAAGUUUUGGGUUUGAGUCUCGUAGCACUAAUUAAAAUUUUGUGGUUUUCAACAAGUGAUGCAUUACAUUUGAUUUAUUCUGCAUUGAAGAAGAAAGAAUAUCAUCUCUCAUCUCAUCUAAUGUUUAUC
rnacentral:lncRNA from 1 species